CGGUAGGUGACCUGCGGAGGAUCAUUAUCGAGUUUUGAAACGGGUUG
rnacentral:rRNA from 1 species